rnacentral:rRNA from 1 species
CCUACGGGUGGCAGCAGUGAGGAAUAUUGGUCAAUGGACGAGAGUCUGAACCAGCCAAGUAGCGUGAAGGAUGACUGCCCUAUGGGUUGUAAACUUCUUUUAUAUGGGAAUAAAAUGUUCCACGUGUGGGAUUUUGUAUGUACCCUAUGAAUAAGGAUCGGCUAACUCCGUGCCAGCAGCCGCGGUAAUACGGAGGAUCCGAGCGUUAUCCGGAUUUAUUGGGUUUAAAGGGAGCGUAGGUGGAUUGUUAAGUCAGUUGUGAAAGUUUGCGGCUCAACCGUAAAAUGGCAGUUGAAACUGGCAGUCUUGAGUACAGUAGAGGUGGGCGGAAUUCGUGGUGUAGCGGUGAAAUGCGUAGAUAUCACGAAGAACUCCGAUUGCGAAGGCAGUUCACUGGACUGUAACUGACACUGAGGCUCGAAAGUGUGGGUAUCAAACAGGAUUAGAUACCCGGGUAGUC